CGCACGGGUGCGUAACACGUAUGCAACCUACCUUAAACUGGGAGAUAGCCCGGGGAAACUCGGAUUAAUACCCCAUAACACAGUGUAAACACAUGUUUGUAUUGUUAAAGAUUUAUCGGUUUAAGAUGGGCAUGCGUUCGAUUAGCUAGUUGGCGAGGUAAUGGCUCACCAAGGCUACGAUCGAUAGGGGGUCUGAGAGGAUGAUCCCCCACACUGGUACUGAGAUACGGACCAG
rnacentral:rRNA from 1 species